UACGUAGGGUGCGAGCGUUAAUCGGAAUUACUGGGCGUAAAGCGUGCGCAGGCGGUUCGCCAAGUCAGGUGUGAAAUCCCCGGGCUCAACCUGGGAAUUGCGCUUGAAACUAGCGAGCUUGAGUGUGGCAGAGGGGGGUGGAAUUCCACGUGUAGCAGUGAAAUGCGUAGAGAUGUGGAGGAACACCGAUGGCGAAGGCAGCCCCCUGGGUCAACACUGACGCUCAGGCACGAAAGCGUGGGGAGCAAACAGG
rnacentral:rRNA from 1 species